rnacentral:rRNA from 1 species
AACGAACGCUGGCGGCAUGCCUAACACAUGCAAGUCGAACGAUUGCCUUCGGGUGAUAGUGGCGCACGGGUGCGUAACGCGUGGGAAUCUGCCCUUAGGUUCGGAAUAACAGCUGGAAACGGCUGCUAAUACCGGAUGAUAUCGCGAGAUCAAAGAUUUAUCGCCUGAGGAUGAGCCCGCGUUGGAUUAGGUAGUUGGUGGGGUAAAGGCCUACCAAGCCGACGAUCCAUAGCUGGUCUGAGAGGAUGAUCAGCCACACUGGGACUGAGACACGGCCCAGACUCCUACGGGAGGCAGCAGUGGGGAAUAUUGGACAAUGGGCGCAAGCCUGAUCCAGCAAUGCCGCGUGAGUGAUGAAGGCCCUAGGGUUGUAAAGCUCUUUUACCCGGGAAGAUGAUGACUGUACCGGGAGAAUAAGCCCCGGCUAACUCCGUG